UUACUGACGUUCAUGCUCGAAGGUGCGGGUAUCGAACAGGAUUAGAUACCCUGGUAGUCCGCACGGUAAACGAUGGAUGCUCGCUGUCGGCGAUACACGGUCGGCGGCCUAGUGAAAGCAUUAAGCAUCCCACCUGGGGAGUACGCCGGCAACGGUGAAACUCAAAGGAAUUGACGGGGGCCCGCACAAGCGGAGGAACAUGUGGUUUAAUUCGAUGAUACGCGAGGAACCUUACCCGGGCUUGAAUUGCGGGUUUUGGUUUAGAGAUAGACCCUUCCCUUCGGGGUUCCUGUGAAGGUGCUGCAUGGUUGUCGUCAGCUCGUGCCGUGAGGUGUCGGCUUAAGUGCCAUAACGAGCGCAACCCCUUUCGUCAGUUGCCAUCAGGUGAUGCUGGGCACUCUGGCGACACUGCCACCGCAAGGUGUGAGGAAGGUGGGGAUGACGUCAAAUCAGCACGGCCCUUACGUCGGGGGCUACACACGUGUUACAAUGGGGCAUACAGAGCGUCGGCCUGUCGCAAGACGUGUCUAAUCGUGAAACUGUCCCUCAGUUCGGAUUGGGGUCUGCAACCCGACCCCAUGAAGCUGGAUUCGCUAGUAA
rnacentral:rRNA from 1 species